GACAGAGGCCCCGAGCGUUAAUCGGAAUUACUGGGCUUAAAGGGUACGUAGGCGGACCAGCAAGUGCUUUGUGAAAGCCCCCGGCUCAACCGGGGAACAGCGGGGCAUACUGCUGGUCUUGAGGCAAGUAAGGGUUGCGAGAACUGUAGGUGGAGCGGUGAAAUGCGUAGAUAUCUACAGGAAUGCCGAUGGUGAAGACGCGCAACUGGGCUUGUCCUGACGCUGAGGCACGAAAGCGUGGGGAGCAAACAGG
rnacentral:rRNA from 1 species